rnacentral:rRNA from 1 species
GUGGGGAAUAUUGCACAAUGGGGGAAACCCUGAUGCAGCGACGCCGCGUGAAGGAAGAAGUAUCUCGGUAUGUAAACUUCUAUCAGCAGGGAAGAUAGUGACGGUACCUGACUAAGAAGCCCCGGCUAACUACGUGCCAGCAGCCGCGGUAAUACGUAGGGGGCAAGCGUUAUCCGGAUUUACUGGGUGUAAAGGGAGCGUAGACGGUGUGGCAAGUCUGAUGUGAAAGGCAUGGGCUCAACCUGUGGACUGCAUUGGAAACUGUCAUACUUGAGUGCCGGAGGGGUAAGCGGAAUUCCUAGUGUAGCGGUGAAAUGCGUAGAUAUUAGGAGGAACACCAGUGGCGAAGGCGGCUUACUGGACGGUAACUGACGUUGAGGCUCGAAAGCGUGGGGAGCAAACAGGAUUAGAAACCCCUGUAGUCC